CUUUAUGUUACUUUGUUAAUGUUUUACUUUAUUCUGUAAUUUUGGUUGCUUCGAUAUGUUAUUUUAAUUAUUAUUAUGACUAGUCUUAAUGCCGUCAUAAGUGACAAUACUAACGACUGACGACUGGAAAUAAAAAUGUUUAAAACUGAACUGACCAAUGAAUAGUUUUGAUAUCAUUUGAACUUGUUUUGAAUAGAAUUAAAAAUCUGAAAAACAUACAAAACGAUUAAAUAGCACAAUAUUUUGAUCUUUUAAAAAUCAACAACACAUCCU